rnacentral:rRNA from 1 species
UAUACAUGCAGUCGAGCGGACAGAUGGGAGCUUGCUCCCUGAUGUUAGCGGCGGACGGGUGAGUAACACGUGGGUAACCUGCCUGUAAGACUGGGAUAACUCCGGGAAACCGGGGCUAAUACCGGAUGCUUGUUUGAACCGCAUGGUUCAAACAUAAAAGGUGGCUUCGGCUACCACUUACAGAUGGACCCGCGGCGCAUUAGCUAGUUGGUGAGGUAACGGCUCACCAAGGCAACGAUGCGUAGCCGACCUGAGAGGGUGAUCGGCCACACUGGGACUGAGACACGGCCCAGACUCCUACGGGAGGCAGCAGUAGGGAAUCUUCCGCAAUGGACGAAAGUCUGACGGAGCAACGCCGCGUGAGUGAUGAAGGUUUUCGGAUCGUAAAGCUCUGUUGUUAGGGAAGAACAAGUACCGUUCGAAUAGGGCGGUACCUUGACGGUACCUAACCAGAAAGCCACGGCUAACUACGUGCCAGCAGCCGCGGUAAUACGUAGGUGGCAAGCGUUGUCCGGAAUUAUUGGGCGUAAAGGGCUCGCAGGCGGUUUCUUAAGUCUGAUGUGAAAGCCCCCGGCUCAACCGGGGAGGGUCAUUGGAAACUGGGGAACUUGAGUGCAGAAGAGGAGAGUGGAAUUCCACGUGUAGCGGUGAAAUGCGUAGAGAUGUGGAGGAACACCAGUGGCGAAGGCGACUCUCUGGUCUGUAACUGACGCUGAGGAGCGAAAGCGUGGGGAGCGAACAGGAUUAGAUACCCUGGUAGUCCACGCCGUAAACGAUGAGUGCUAAGUGUUAGGGGGGUUCCGCCCCUUAGUGCUGCAGCUAACGCAUUAAGCACUCCGCCUGGGGAGUACGGUCGCAAGACUGA